rnacentral:rRNA from 1 species
CCUACGGGGGGCUGCAGUGGGGAAUAUUGGACAAUGGGCGCAAGCCUGAUCCAGCAAUGCCGCGUGUGUGAAGAAGGCCUUCGGGUUGUAAAGCACUUUUAUCAGGAACGAAAAGCGUUGGAUUAAUACUCUGACGUGCUGACGGUACCUGAGGAAUAAGCACCGGCUAACUUCGUGCCAGCAGCCGCGGUAAUACGAAGGGUGCAAGCGUUAAUCGGAAUUACUGGGCGUAAAGCGUGCGUAGAUGGUUCGCUAAGUCGGAUGUGAAAGCCCCGGGCUCAACCUGGGAACUGCAUCCGAUACUGGCGGACUAGAGUGUGAUAGAGGAUGGCGGAAUUCCCGGUGUAGCGGUGAAAUGCGUAGAGAUCGGGAGGAACAUCCGUGGCGAAGGCGGCCAUCUGGAUCAACACUGACGUUGAGGCACGAAAGCGUGGGGAGCAAACAGGCUUAGAUACCCGGGUAGUC